UUCUGCUUUGACUCUCUCUGUCCUUCUCUCUGAUGCAGACAGGACAGGACACCGCUGCCACGUGGCCGACGCGCGUGCCUCCAUCGAUGCAAUCUCCCGCCUCGCUUCCCGCACGUACUCCGGACAACGCGCACGCGCGGGGGGGGACGUAACCGGUGGCGAUCUCUCUCCGAGCGGAACAUAACGGUCGCGGUCGAUGGCGGACGGCGGCGGCGGCGGGGCGGCGGCGAGGAGGGCGGAGGAGGAGGAGGAGGGGGCGCGGAUGGAGCAGGAGGUGCGGCGGGCGGUGGAGCAGGCGAAGGAGCUCCAGGACGCCGCCGCCGCGCACGUGGCCGCCGCGUCGAGCGAGGAGGGCUCGAUCCGGCAGCGCACGCUCGCGCUCGACUCGUCCAUCCGCCGCCUCCGGGCCUCCGUCGGCGCCCAGGCGGGCGGCGGGCUGCUGGACCCGAAGCUCGCGGAGAGGCUCGAGGAGGAGCUGCAGCGGGCCGGGUGCAUCGUCGCCGACGGGGACGCGUCGUCGUUCCUUCCGGCGAAAGCUCAAGGCGGCUUCGUGAGGAUGUUCCUGGGCCCGAUCAACGUGCGCGCCUCGAGGAAAGAGGUGCAGCUGAAAGUCAAGGAGGAGUAUAACAGCUACAGGGAUAGAACUGCUCUCCUCUUUCUCAUUUUCCCAUCAGCACUUCUAGUGUUGAGAUCUUGGCUGUGGAAUGGAUGUUUUCCAGCAUUUCCUGUUCAGCUGUACCAGGCAUGGCUGUUAGUCCUCUACACUGGUUUGGCAUUGAGAGAAAACAUACUAAGCAUCAAUGGAAGUGACAUUAGGCCCUGGUGGAUAUAUCAUCACUACGGUGCAAUGAUUAUGGCCCUUGUCAGCCUAACAUGGGAGAUCAAAGGACAACCAAACUGUGCUCAAAAGCAGAGAGGUGUACAACUUUUCCUUCAAUGGGCCAUAAUGCAAGGAGUUGCUAUGCUUCUCCAGAAUAGAUAUCAACGCCAGAGACUUUACACUCGCAUUGCACUGGGCAAGGCUAAGAGAAUGGAUGUAGUCUGGGGAGAAACUGCAGGUGUGGAUGGCCAAUUAUGGCUUCUUUGUCCUAUACUUUUCAUUAUGCAGGGUUUUGAGGCAUAUGUGGGGUUCCUGCUGCUCCGAACUGCAAUGGUUGGGGUAGUUUCUGAAUGGCAGGUGAUAUUCUGUGGGAUCCUGCUGGUUCUGAUGGCCGUCGGGAACUUCGCGUACACAGUACAGACUCUGAUGGUUAAGUCGAGGUUCAAGGCAAAGAUGAAGAGUGAACGGAGAUCAAGCAGGAGCUAGAUUAGGCGCCUUGAGCUAGUAUGAUCUUUACGAAGCUCCCUGAUCGUCUUUUCGCAUUCUCUUCCCCCCUCAUGUAUUCGUUUCUGGACACGCUAGGCUAACUUCAGAUAUCAACAGCAAAAAUGGCAAAAGAACGAAUCAUAUCCUUGGUCAGACCGUAUAUCAACUAGUCGAAAGUCCCUCUUUUAAGAACAGAUUGAAUCAUCACACCUCGUUGUAACCUCCCUACUGCAUUCGUCAUGUACGCCUCUUCUUCGGGGCAAGAGAAGAGCAUCAUGCCUGCAGCUUGGAGAUGCGCUCCCUGGGACAUCUAUAUCUUCCGCUAACCCUCAGGUCGGCACACAGUUGGGACACCUUCAUACCCGAAUGGCCUGUAAUGGCGUUUAUGAGCUUUUAAGAGACAAUGGGUGUGUCUGGAAAGACUUUUGUGAAAGUUCUUGAGAAAAUGUAAAGAACCUUGAGUUAAAGGAGUUCUUCAAAAUGCAAAUUGUGUUUGGUAAA